rnacentral:rRNA from 1 species
UACGGGGGGAGCAAGCGUUGUUCGGAUUUACUGGGCGUAAAGGGUGCGUAGGUGGCGGGGCAAGUCUGGUGUGAAAUCCCGGGGCUCAACCCCGGAACUGCACUGGAUACUGCCUUGCUAGAGCACUGGAGAGGGAACUGGAAUUUACGGUGUAGCAGUGAAAUGCGUAGAUAUCGUAAGGAAGACCAGUGGCGAAGGCGAGUUCCUGGACAGUUGCUGACACUGAGGCACGAAGGCUAGGGGAGCAAACGGG